UUUUUCAACUUUCUUCUUUUUCUUUUUAGAUUCUUACUCAUAUUCAUUAGAUUUUCUCAAUUUCUAAUAGAUACCCAAAACUUAUCUGUUGAUAUUCUAACAAUAACCCCAUACUUAAUUUAGACACAUCUUUGAGACGUAAUUCUUCUAAUCCAAGUAAGGUAGGGGAGUGUUUAAGCCAAAGGUUACACUUAGGGUUAAAACCAAACAAAAGGGAAACAA
rnacentral:lncRNA from 1 species